GUAGUCAUAUGCUUGUCUCAAAGAUUAAGCCAUGCAUGUCUAAGUAUAAGCAAUUAUACCGUGAAACUGCGAAUGGCUCAUUAAAUCAGUUAUCGUUUAUUUGAUAGUACCUUACUACUUGGAUAACCGUGGUAAUUCUAGAGCUAAUACAUGCUGAAAACCCCAACUUCGGGAGGGGUGUAUUUAUUAGAUAAAAAACCAACGCCCUUCGGGGCUUCUUGGUGAUUCAUGAUAACUUCACGGAUCGCAUGGCCUUGCGCCGGCGACGGUUCAUUCAAAUUUCUGCCCUAUCAACUUUCGAUGGUAAGGUAUUGGCUUACCAUGGUUUCAACGGGUAACGGGGAAU
rnacentral:rRNA from 2 species